rnacentral:rRNA from 1 species
AAGGAGGGGGAAAGAGGAAAAAGGAAUUAUUGGGCGUAAAGAGUGCGUAGGUGGUUUUUUAAGCGUGAGGUGAAAGGCAAUAGCUUAACUAUUGUAAGCCUUGCGAACUGGAAGACUUGAGUGCAGGAGAGGAAAGUGGAAUUCCUAGUGUAGCGGUGAAAUGCGUAGAUAUUAGGAGGAACACCAGUGGCGAAGGCGACUUUCUGGACUGUAACUGACACUGAGGCACGAAAGCGUGGGGAGCAAACAG